UCAGGAUGAACGCUGGCGGCGUGCCUAACACAUGCAAGUCGAACGAGCGAGAGAUGAAACCUAGUGAUUCUCGAGCGAGUGGCGGACGGGUGAGUAACGCGUGGGCAACCUGCCUUACAGAGGGGGAUAACAGUUUGAAAAGACUGCUAAUACCGCAUAAGCACACAGUACCGCAUGGUACAGGGUGAAAAGAUUUAUCACUGUAAGAUGGACCCGCGUCUGAUUAGCCAGUUGGCAGGGUAACGGCCUACCAAAGCGACGAUCAGUAGCCGACCUGAGAGGGUGAUCGGCCACAUUGGGACUGAGACACGGCCCAAACUCCUACGGGAGGCAGCAGUGGGGGAUAUUGCACAAUGGAGGAAACUCUGAUGCAGCGACGCCGCGUGAGUGAAGAAGUAUUUCGGUAUGUAAAGCUCUAUCAGCAGGGAAGAUAAUGACAGUACCCGACCAAGAAGCCCCGGCUAACUACGUGCCAGCCGCCGC
rnacentral:rRNA from 1 species